CCUUACCGCAGCGAUCAAAACGCUCGCUCCAACAGGUACCGACACCGUAUAUUUAAGGGUGCUCCGCGAAGCCUUCCUCGCAUCCCUGUUUUCCUCUGUUUUCCCGUACUCUACACUAUCUCAGUCUCAGAUCUCGCUUUCUCUCCCUCUCAAAGGGAAGCAGUCUUACGGGUCAAAUAAUAUCCUUCAAUGGUGUCUUGACACGUAGGCCACCCAUGAGACUUUCCCAAAUUGGAAAGGAAACGCCACACGCACACGCGAAAGAUAGCAUAUUCAAAAUAAAUUAGACGUUGGUGCUCAUGGGAAUCGUUGGCGAGGCUGCAAACAAGGAGACUAACAGAAGCGUAUCUGAGAAGAAGCCUACAGUUGUUUUUGUUCUAGGUGGCCCAGGUAGUGGAAAAGGUACCCAAUGUGCGAAUAUUGUUCAACACUUCGGUUAUACCCAUCUCAGUGCUGGUGAUCUUCUCCGAGCAGAAAGCAACUCUGGUUCUGAAAAUGGCACUAUGAUUCAGAACAUGAUGAAAGAAGGAAAGAUCGUUCCCUCGGAGGUAACUAUUAAGCUUCUCCAACGUGCAAUGACAGAAAGUGGUAAUGACAGAUUUCUUAUUGACGGUUUUCCUCGUAAUGAGGAAAAUCGAGCAGCAUUUGAGGAUAUUACAAAAAUUGAGCCAGCUUUUGUCCUAUUUUUCGAUUGUUCUGAGGAAGAGAUGGAGAGGCGUAUUUUGAAUAGAAACCAGGGAAGGGAAGAUGAUAACAUUGAAACAAUUAGGAAGCGCUUUAAGGUUUUCUCGGAGUCUAGUCUCCCUGUGAUUGACCAUUACAAGUCAAGGGGAAAAGUUCGACAGAUUGAUGCUGGAAGGCCAGUUGAAGAGGUUUUUGAGUCUGUUAAAGCUGUAUUUACCUCAAAAAAUGAGAAGCUGUUCGAUUGGGUUUGAGGUUGGAACACCAAUGCAUUAUAAGAAUUUGGGGUUAGCACCAGUCUUGCAAUAAAGUUGCAAUUUUCAAUCAUUUGUCACUCAUGAAGUUGUGAACUAUGCAACUGGAUAGUGUAAUGCUCAACAAGCUGACUGAGCACUACAUAUCCACCUGAUAUUCAAGUAUCGUAUCUAUUGAGGUUCUGUAUUUUGGCUGCGUAUCCUUGUACCCUGCGAAGGAUGAUAUAUCUCUCCCAUUUUUUUUUCCCUAAUAUAGAAGGUUGUAUUUUAUGCCUUUGAGUGUAUACCUCCAUUUUUCUUCUCUUUUGAUUGUAUUUCUCUGUAAUGACAUCAAAUAAUAAUUGUAAUAGCAAUAAGGAUCCUUUUUUCUGUCUCUAA